AGAGUUUGAUCCUGGCUCAGAUUGAACGCUGGCGGCAUGCUUUACACAUGCAAGUCGAGCGGCAGCGCGGGGGCAACCCUGGCGGCGAGCGGCGAACGGGUGAGGAAUACAUCGGAACGUACCCCGGAGUGGGGGAUAACUCGGCGAAAGCCGUGCUAAUACCGCAUAUGCUCUGAGGAGGAAAGUGGGGGAUUCGCAAGAACCUCACGCUCUGGGAGCGGCCGAUGUCCGAUUAGCUUGUUGGUGGGGUAAUGGCCUACCAAGGCGACGAUCGGUAGCUGGUCUGAGAGGAUGAUCAGCCACACUGGGACUGAGACACGGCCCAGACUCCUACGGGAGGCAGCAGUGGGGAAUUUUGGACAAUGGGGGCAACCCUGAUCCAGCCAUGCCGCGUGCGGGAAGAAGGCCUUCGGGUUGUAAACCGCUUUUGGCCGGGAAGAAAAGGCGCCACCUAAUACGGGGCGUUCUUGACGGUACCGGCAGAAUAAGCACCGGCUAACUACGUGCCAGCAGCCGCGGUAAUACGUAGGGUGCGAGCGUUAAUCGGAAUUACUGGGCGUAAAGCGUGCGCAGGCGGUUUGUUAAGUCUGAUGUGAAAGCCCCGGGCUCAACCUGGGAAUGGCAUUGGAAACUGGCAAGCUCGAGUUUGGCAGAGGGGGGUGGAAUUCCGCGUGUAGCAGUGAAAUGCGUAGAGAUGCGGAGGAACACCGAUGGCGAAGGCAAGCCCCCUGGGCUAAGACUGACGCUCAGGCACGAAAGCGUGGGGAGCAAACAGGAUUAGAUACCCCCGUAGUCC
rnacentral:rRNA from 1 species